UGAUGCAGUGUUUUACUUAUUUGCCUCAAGCUGUUAGUAACUUAUUUUGAGUUUUUCAUUUUGAAUUUUCUGAAAUAUGUUAUUCUAGGGUUUAGUGCACAUCUUAAAUUCAGCUGUGAUGUUGCUGUAAUUAUGUUUUUGGAAUCAGUAUUUUAAUGCUCUGCAGUUUUAUAUUGUUGUAACUUACCUGAUAAAUUGUUUUUCACUUAAGGUGUCUCCCCUUUGUGUGCAGAAAUCACACAUUUUAAUAACCUGGCAUGUUUCUUGUGUUGGGUGUAUGUAGCCUAGUUACUGAACACAGUAGUAUGUGCUGGGAACACCGUUUAUUCUCCCGUAGGCCGUGGGGCUCUGAAGGGGAAGACAGGACGUGGGGGGCGGCAGAAGAAUCGUGGCAUCGGCAACCAUGGGGGCGGACAGAGCAACCUGCCGAACAGCCAGGCCAGCCAAGACGUGGUGUCCCAGCCCUUCUCUCAGGGGCCGCUCACCCAGGGCUACGUCUCCAUGAGCCAGCCGUCGCAGAUGAGCCAGCCGGGCCUGUCUCAGCCUGAGCUGUCACAAGACAGUUACCUCGGUGAUGAAUUCAAGUCCCAGAUUGACGUGGCUUUGUCCCAAGACUCCACUUACCAGGGCGAGCGUGCAUAUCAACAUGGCGGGGUGACUGGAUUGUCACAGUACUAGAAUGUUGUGGGAUAAGGAGCUAGGCUUGAGCUGAGCUUAGUUCGUCAGAAUUUUAAUCUGGGUAAUAAUAAAAAAACAAAAAACGGAUACCUGUUUUCCACUGCUACAACUGAAGCACCACUGUGUGAAAGCAACAGGAGAGGGAAACCAACCAAUCACAAGAGGAAUAGGAAAAGGGGCAGACAGACAGGACGAGGAGGAAGAGAGAGAGAGAGAGCGAGCACUGCCAGUACACUGAGACGGGCGCCAGGAGGGAGGAGGACGCAAGCGGUGUGUGGUCGUGCUGUCGGGGAACACGAAUCAAAAAUGAGGCAGCUCCCUACGAAAGAAGCCCAUUCCCUCCAAAACCCUUCCACCACUUCCUGCUCAAGGAAUGACCUGUUGACUGAGGACCUUGAUCUUCAAGCAGAAAGGGGGAAAAGACAAGUUCUCAAGCAACUCGCGAGCUCAUUCCGUUUUCUCCAGAAACGGAGAAAAGAGUGGCGAACCGCUUCACGCAGGCAAUGUGGAAAAUCUUUACCUCAAAGUUGAUCUCAGUUUUUAACCUUUGAACCCAUUUGAUUUAAAUUUUUGUGGAAUAAGAGUGGUGGUGAUACAGCAGCUCUUAGGCCCAAAUCGCAUCAAAUGAUGAAGGCGGUUACUCGAGAGUAUGAAUUGAUCUUAAUCCAACUUUGAGUUCUUGCGUUAAGCUUGAAUUGAAGAAAUUCCGAGUCCACUUGCCUUUGACUACCUUAGAGUUCAGUGGCAGGUACACCGGGUCCUACCUGAAGUGGUAUAGUAAAGGUCUAUGGUGGUGUGGUCAUGGGAUUUUAAGGCAAAGUUUAUGGAUCUGAGCUAAGGAUCUGCAACGUAAGAUGAGUCUUCUGAAGCAGCUUUCUUCUUGUAGAACCCGGGCAGAAUAAUGAAAAGGCCAGCGUUUCUGGGUGUGAACUUGGUGCAAUUUCCAAGUUGCAGCAAUAGUGUAUUGAUCUUUAAUGAAGGAGGGAGGAGUAGGGAAAUGAGGUCUGGAGCUACAGAGGGUUUUCAGUGUUUUAAAUGCAGCCUAUGCUUAGAUUGGCUACUGUUCCAAAGAGGGGGUUUUACUUGGAGGAAAACUGCAUCGCCUUUGGCUGGUUGAGUUCGCUGCUAAAAGCAACUCCCUGGACAAUGAGUCACACUUCAAGUCACCGUAACUGGGAAUGCAUCGUCUGGAAAUAUCUCAAAUGUGUAAAAAAAAAAAAAAA